rnacentral:sRNA from 1 species
GGAUCACCGGUCCAUCGCGCUGGUAAAAAUAGACCGUCCUGCUAAGCGAUAACGUCCUGCAGGACUGGCGGUCGCUCAUAGUAAAUUGUGCGUUCAGAUAACCGACGAGCGCACGCUUUAUCGCUGGUUUU